rnacentral:rRNA from 1 species
UACGGGGGGGGCAAGCGUUGUUCGGAAUUACUGGGCGUAAAGGGCGCGUAGGCGGCACGGCAAGUCAGGAGUGAAAGCCCUGGGCUCAACCCGGGAACUGCUUUUGAAACUGCCGAGCUAGAGUGCGGAAGGGGCAACUGGAAUUCCCAGUGUAGCGGUGAAAUGCGUAGAUAUUGGGAAGAGCACCUGAGGCGAAGGCGGGUUGCUGGGCCGACACUGACGCUGAGGCGCGAAAGCCAGGGGAGCGAACGGG